UUCCCUUCUCCCACCUCUUUUCUUUCCACCUCAUUACCAUCUUGUUUCUCAGGAUGCUGAUUCAGUCGCAGACCAAUUUCAGCUGCAUUUUAUUACUGAAAUCCUCCUCUUGCAAAGGAGGAAAUUGAAAGUGAAACAUAACCUGGUGUUCCCAGCCAUGUUGGCUCAGGCGCCGGAAAGAGCAUCUUCAGACCACCUCACUAUCUAGCAAGAGUUUCUGGUGACCAGGAUGACACCUGCUGGGACACCUUACUCACUCCAGCAUCUGCAGACGGGAUCCUGGGAGAACCAGCAGAAGUUGCCAAAGAGUGAGAAUUCUCACCAAAAUGACAAUGCCAAAAUUAGUUUGUAAAGAGCUCUACGUAAUUGGUUUAAAGACAAACACGUGUUUAUAUAAACCAAGUACACUCUCAGAAAUAAAGAAGCUAAUCCGAAUGUUUUUCAAGUUCACGUGAUU
rnacentral:lncRNA from 1 species